rnacentral:rRNA from 1 species
UACAGAGGGUGCGAGCGUUAAUCGGAAUUACUGGGCGUAAAGCGCGCGUAGGCGGCUUUGUAAGUUAGAGGUGAAAGCCCGGGGCUCAACCCCGGAACAGCCUUUAAGACUGCAUCGCUAGAAUCCGGGAGAGGUGAGUGGAAUUCCGAGUGUAGAGGUGAAAUUCGUAGAUAUUCGGAAGAACACCAGUGGCGAAGGCGGCUCACUGGACCGGCAUUGACGCUGAGGUGCGAAAGCGUGGGGAGCAAACAGG